UACGUAGGGUGCGAGCGUUGUCCGGAAUUACUGGGCGUAAAGAGCUCGUAGGCGGUGUGUCGCGUCGGCCGUGAAAACCUGCAGCUUAACUGUGGGCUUGCGGUCGAUACGGGCAUCACUGGAGUUCGGCAGGGGAGACUGGAAUUCCUGGUGUAGCGGUGAAAUGCGCAGAUAUCAGGAGGAACACCAAUGGCGAAGGCAGCACUCUGGGACGGUACUGACGCUGAGACGCGAAAGCGUGGGGAGCAAACAGG
rnacentral:rRNA from 1 species